rnacentral:rRNA from 1 species
GGAUGAACGCUGGCGGCGUGCCUAAUCCAUGCAAGUCGAGCGAACAGACGAGGAGCUUGCUCCUCUGACGUUAGCGGCGGACGGGUGAGUAACACGUGGAUAACCUACCUAUACGACUGGGAUAACUUCGGGAAACCGGAGCUAAUACCGGAUAAUAUAUUGAACCGCAUGGUUCAAUAGUGAAAGACGGUUUUGCUGUCACUUAUAGAUGGAUCCGCGCCGCAUUAGCUAGUUGGUAAGGUAACGGCUUACCAAGGCAACGAUGCGUAGCCGACCUGAGAGGGUGAUCGGCCACACUGGAACUGAGACACGGUCCAGACUCCUACGGGAGGCAGCAGUAGGGAAUCUUCCGCAAUGGGCGAAAGCCUGACGGAGCAACGCCGCGUGAGUGAUGAAGGUCUUCGGAUCGUAAAACUCUGUUAUUAGGGAAGAACAAAUGUGUAAGUAACUAUGCACGUCUUGACGGUACCUAAUCAGAAAGCCACGGCUAACUACGUG